rnacentral:rRNA from 1 species
UGAGGAAUAUUGGUCAAUGGACGGAAGUCUGAACCAGCCAAGUAGCGUGCAGGACGACGGCCCUAUGGGUUGUAAACUGCUUUUAUGUGGGAAUAAAGUCAGGGACGUGUCCCUGUUUGCAUGUACCACAGGAAUAAGGACCGGCUAAUUCCGUGCCAGCAGCCGCGGUAAUACGGAAGGUCCGGGCGUUAUCCGGAUUUAUUGGGUUUAAAGGGAGCGUAGGCUGGAGAUUAAGCGUGUUGUGAAAUGCCGCGGCUCAACCGUGGCACUGCAGCGCGAACUGGUUUCCUUGAGUGCGCUGAAAGUGGGCGGAAUUUGUGGUGUAGCGGUGAAAUGCUUAGAUAUCACGAAGAACUCCGAUUGCGAAGGCAGCUCACUGUAUCGCGACUGACGCUGAAGCUCGAA